CAGAAGAUUCCUCAUCAGUUAGGGCUCCCAGAGAGGAGCAGAACCACUGCAUGGUUCUAGAGAAUCAGAAUUUAUGAAUAAAUUCUCUAUGAAUAGAGAAUCAGAGAUUUAUUAUCGGGGAUCCAGGCUCAUAAUUGCAGGGAUGGGCUAGGCCUGUCAGUCGGCCGGAGGCUGUUGCGUCACAGUGGAGUCAGCGGGGCAGGCGGUAGGGAAGGAGAAAUGGGCACAAAGUGGGGGAAGCAAUGACAGACUGCCACCAGUGUGGACAAACCAGAGCCCGUUCCUGCGUCUCACUGCUUCCAGGUGACGUUAUGAAGGAGCUGUAAGACACACAGGCCUUCUGCUGCUGCUCCACAGGUUGGUCCAGGAUUCGGAGGAGCUGCAAGAUGAGGUCUGGUGUGAACUGGAGAUGCUGAGGGCUCAGCGGCUACCCCAUCAUAACAGAUAUGGAAACAAUGACCACAAAAAUGUCCCUCUGAGAUCAUUACCAAGAAUGGCAACUGUGAAAGGGCCAAAUGAGCAGUCAACUGGAUGAAUUUCAGGAAACAUGAAGGGCCAGAAGUCCUAUCGCAUCAUCCAUCAUGGGGCCUUUGCUACUAAGUUGUAGAACACAUACAAAUAAUGGAUGUUUACCUGUCCUCCGGGGAAACUGAAGCAGUUUUACAGGCAGAAGUACUAACUGUCAUCCAUGAAAGUGAUUAUAGUGAUGGGAAGAUCUUCUUUAGAUAGGAAGGCUGUCAUAUUAUUUUGAUUCUAUGACGGUUCCCAUCGUCAGAUGGCUCGGGUGCAGGCAGUAUGUAUCUCUCUUCAGUUGGCUGAGACAUUGCGAGGUGUCAGAAGGACACAUAGAAAAAGAAUGCUGAGAACAGGGCCCAGAGCUUCCGGGGAAGAUUUCCAAUCUGAGCUCAGCCACCCCACAAUGGGUGAGCCCAGGCAAGCCACUUAACUUCUCCAGACCGCAGUCUUCUCUUCAACAAAAUCCUCCAGGUGCAAUGGAAUGGGAAGCCACAGGUUUGUAUUCUUUCUGUAAGUGCCUCCUACCC